GGGGUAACAGGGCUCCAGCAUUCCAUAUGGAACUGCAGGCAGGGUGCACGGCAGAGGGAAGAGCCCAGAAGAUGCUCCUCUCCUGCUCAUCUGCCUCCUGCCCAGGGCUAGCGGGAAGAACUGUCUCCGCUGCUGGUCAGACUUGCCUGCCCCGAUUGACUACGAUCUGAAGAUUCUCUGGGGCACCCCAGGGCCUCCCACAGAACUCUCCAAGAGCCUCCACUCCCUCUUCCAAGAGGACAGCAUCUUGCUCCAGCACCGGUACCUUGAUCAGGAUCUUGUAGAAGAGGAGACAGCCAAAUUCUUCAACCAAGUAGACCAAGCCACUGGGAAGUUUAGAGAUGACAAAACAUCACUUCUGAAAGAGACUGAUAUGCACAAGGAUCUCCUUGCUGAGAGGCUGAACAAAAGAGCUGAGAAGCUGAGGGAGCAGGGACAUCCUCACCUCCCACCUGGGUUAAGGCAGCCUUUUCUAUCUGGCCUUCUUCCCAUCCUGGCUACACCUCACUUCACCACCAGAAAACUCUCAAGGAGAACACUUACUCAUGCCAGGAACCUUCAGAGCUAA
rnacentral:lncRNA from 1 species